AUGUCAUUUGAGCUACCACACUUUGUGUCAACAUACCAAGCUGAAAGAAAAGGCAUGACAAGUGCAGACUUUCUCUUCUGCAACCUUAUUUGAAUGAACCUGUCAAAUGAAAGCAUUCUCCUGUCUAGAUAUGACAUGUAAUCCUAAUGCCAGUGUUAUUAGAAACUAACACCAGAUAAGGAUCACUUAGCCCACCUAGUGUGCCCAUUUCUGUUGACAAAUGUAAUGUUUAGUCGCUGUAUUAACAUUUUCUAAUUUGAGACAUCUGUCCAGCUUUGGUCUAAGUGGCGGGUUUGUG